rnacentral:rRNA from 1 species
AGUGAACGCUGGCGGUAGGCCUAACACAUGCAAGUCGAACGGCAGCACAGGAGAGCUUGCUCUCUGGGUGGCGAGUGGCGGACGGGUGAGGAAUACAUCGGAAUCUACUCUGUCGUGGGGGAUAACGUAGGGAAACUUACGCUAAUACCGCAUACGACCUACGGGUGAAAGCAGGGGACCUUCGGGCCUUGCGCGAUUGAAUGAGCCGAUGUCGGAUUAGCUAGUUGGCGGGGUAAAGGCCCACCCAGGCGACGAUCUGUAGCUGGUCUGAGAGGAUGAUCAGCCACACUGGAACUGAGACACGGUCCAGACUCCUACGGGAGGCAGCAGUGGGGAAUAUUGGACAAUGGGCGCAAGCCUGAUCCAGCCAUACCGCGUGGGUGAAGAAGGCCUUCGGGUUGUAAAGCCCUUUUGUUGGGAAAGAAAUCCAGCUGGCUAAUACCCGGUUGGGAUGACGGUACCCAAAGAAUAAGCACCGGCUAACUUCGUGCCAGCAGCCGCAGUAA